rnacentral:lncRNA from 1 species
UCCAAUCCAACAUGCAAGGAAAUUUGUAGUGUUUGAAUUGGGAAGAAAGCAUUGGCUGUUUCUGUUGGAACCAUUAUUGGGGAGAGGCCAUCUGCCCAUAUUCAAAGCGUGGACCACAACAUAUCUGGUUAAUGGCCAUGUGGGAUGCUCGAUCAUGUCAUCGAUCAUGUCAUGGAAAAGUAACUUGUGAUUCAGAUUCACAAUCUAAAAUAAGAAAUUAUAAGUAUUUAUUUCAAUGUACAAUAAAAAUUGGUUGAAAAGUUGAAGUGAUUUGAGUAAUACUUUGUUGUCUUCAAUUGAAUUAUGCCGUUGGGUUUAAUCCAAUCGUAGUUAGUUUGGUCCUCCUAACCCAACAAUUUUGUAGUGGUUCUAGUCCCUACUUAGCAAUUCUCUCAACUAAACUGGAACAAAAUAGCAAAGUAAAUACAAGUUUUAGUAUAGUAUGGCAAAAAUGUGUUCCUCGUGGGUGGUUAAGGCGAAUCGAGAAGUGCAUAUUGCUAGUAUAUUAUUCAAGAAUCAUAUCAAUUGGAUAUUGCAAUAACGCAUUUCACCCCUUGUGAUAUGACCAUGGUGAGGAUAACUUUGUGCUUUUUACCCCUUGUUAAUGAGGUAUCCACUCAAGUCUAAUUUCCCCCUGCCAACAACCAAUAAUGAUUAGGAAUCCAAUGGAGCUCUCUCUCGAUCCAAAAUGUGUAUCUCGCUGUCCUUCCCAUUACUACCCAUAACACACGAUGAUGAACCCUAGUUUCGGAGAGGAUGCCAAAACGCAGUGUUUCACAGCUAUAAUUAUAACUUAUAUGAGAUUAAGCCCUAAAACCUACAUAUGCUAGAUGAUUAAGGUGGACCUUAAUCAUGAAUAAACAUGAUACCAUGAUGUGAUUCGUGAAUGUGAAGCACCAACUUACUUGUCAUCCAUGGAGGCGGGC